rnacentral:lncRNA from 1 species
AAAAAGCAACCUGGCUAAAGUAGAGGGUGAAGUCGCAGAAAAGGAAAAGAUGCUGACCGGUGAGUGAAAAAAGUGUCAAUCUUUUAUUUUUUGUAUAAGCAAGCAGUUCUUUUACCAAGACAUCCGUUAGACAAACUUUUUUUUAUGGUGUUCUUCUUGAAGACGACCGAUAUGAUAUGAACAAAGAUAUUGUAGAUGAACAGUUCAUAUCGGUCGGUGGUGAUGAGGAUGAAA